CUAACAUUUAACAUCGUUAAAACAUUUUUACAUCUUUCUUUGUAGACCAUACGGGUAGAUCAUUAAAUAAGAAGACUGAUGGGCAACCUGAGAGGCCCAGGCCAGCACUGCCCAGCUGUGAAUCAACCUGCUUCCUUUCCUUGCUCUGAUGACAGAAUCCUCCAUACCCAGUUCCCUUCCUGUGAAUAUUUUUUCAAGAGAGAUCCAGCAUCACACUGCUGAGGCUCAAGCAAGCGGAGUUGGAUCAAGCAAUUGUCUUCUCGAUGAUACAUACAUAUCCAGAAUACCACUUAUCCUGAGGGAUGGAGAAGGAAGCAUAUGUAUUCAGAACAUAAGACAUCCAAACAUAAAACGACAAAAGGGCUCGAGUCAUCCUGAAUUUUCUUUGUAUCUCCUAUGGUUUCCAUGAGGGACAGGCCAAUUUUUGCCUCCAAGAUCAUAAUUGGCAUCAAGCAACAGCUUUGUGUUCAUUGUGGAUACAUAGAUACAUCCCUGGCCUCUGUCCCUGGGCAACUUGCGACAGUCCUUCCAUCACUGUGCUGGCUGCCACCCUAGGUUGAGACCCACUGGUCCAGAUAUCCCUGCUAUGACUACGUAAGAUAUUCUAGACAUUUAUCAUUUCUGUUCUUGUUUCAGCGCAGGUAGUCGAGUCAGCAUCUCAUCACUGUAACAAAGUACCCGAAUUUUUUUCUUUUAAAAAACAAUUCAGAAGAUGAAAGGCUUGUUUUUGCUCACAGUCUCAGGGACAACAGCUUAUGCUCUCUUGACUCCAUUGAUUCUGAGUCCAUGGGGAAGGGGAGCUUCACAGUGAGGAGCAUGUGUGGUAAUGCAGAUUGGAUCAUGCCAUAGCAGACAGGAGGCUGAGAGAUGGAUGGGGUUUACCUCAUUCCUUCAAGUAGGCCCCACAUUCGAAAGUUUCUGUCACCUCCCAGUCAUUCCACUAAAUUAUGGAUUUAUUAUUUUAUUAGUCCAUUGAUGAGCACAGAGUCAUCAAGAUCUAAUCACACACUAAAAGCCCCACCUCUUAUUAGUGUUGCAGUGGGGAACCUUUAGGCACCAGAGUCUGAAGGAGGUCCUUUUAUAUCUAAAUCACAAUAGAGCAAGGGAUUUCCUAUACUAUAUAUUUGGUAGAUUUCUUUUUCCUUUACACCUGUGAUUAUUUUUUUUCUCUCUGAAGAGACUUAGUUUUUGGAGUUUCAAAACACAGCAAAUAUAUAAUUUUCAUCAAUGUAUUGUAAGACAACUUCUUCCUCUGUCUACAGAAGUGUAUGCCUGUCACAGAUUGACUUUGGACUUAUACUGUGGUAGAUAGGAAACAUGGAGAAAGAAAAGAGGGUUAGACCUCAAGAUUUCAGGUUAGCCAUUUCCAAAUGUUGGCAAUAAUUGGGCAAACCAUCACACUUUCUCUACUAUAGUCCUUUUGAUUCUAAAAUGGGUAUAGUUAUAAUGGAAUGAGUAGUUAUAUGGGUCAAAUAAGUUGAUACUACAAAGAUAAUUGAAAGAUAAAACAGUGUAUGGAAUUUGAAUAUGGUGCCAAUGCCUAUAAUUCUACUGGAGAAGUAAAGGCAAGAAGAUAAGGAGUUCAAGUUAGCCUCAGCUACAUAGGAAAUUUGAAUUCAUCUUAGG
rnacentral:lncRNA from 1 species